rnacentral:sRNA from 1 species
GGAAGUGGGAUGCGCUAGCCAGAGCUGC